AGCGUAGGCGGUUUGGUAAGUCUUGUGUGAAAUCUUCGGGCUCAACCCGAAGUCUGCACGAGAAACUGCCGGGCUUGAGUAUGGGAGAGGUGAGUGGAAUUCCUGGUGUAGCGGUGAAAUGCGUAGAUAUCAGAAGGAACACCUGUGGCGAAAGCGGCUCACUGGACCAUAACUGACGCUGAGGCUCGAAAGCUAGGGGAGCAAACAGGAUUAGAUACCCUGGUAGUCCUAGCCCUAAACGAUGACUGCUUGGUGUGGCGGGUACCCAAUCCCGCCGUGCCGUAGCUAACGCGUUAAGCAGUCCGCCUGGGGAGUACGGUCGCAAGGCUGAA
rnacentral:rRNA from 1 species